GGGGUUGGGGGCUCGCUGUAAUACCUACAGCUAAUUACUACACAGAUCUGCCCGUGGCCACUCAUCACCCACGACAACGCCAAAGAAAUCUUGCAUCUGCUGCUGAUUAUUAUGGACGGGUAUUGCCCUAUUCCCCAUCACGAACGUAGCUAACACAAGGAAAUACAACGGAUGGAUGACACGUCCUCGUCCAAGCGGGCUUAGUUGUGUCCAAUGGACUCGCUAUGGUGAGUUGCUGCCGUACAGCGAGCUGUAAAUCUACUGCGCAGUAUCAAGCAGGUCUUCAACAGAGGUCUGCUUUCCGCCCGCCAGUGAAACUUCCCAAGGGGCCAUUCCUACGACCGGGACCGUCGCCUUCUCACCGCCACCCUCGCCUUCUCGCCCGCGCCCUCGCCUUCUCGCCCUCACCGUCGC
rnacentral:lncRNA from 1 species